UCUAUUGACCCUGUGAUGACUAAUUUCUCAUCCCAGCACAGGUCCCAUAACUGGGGUGAACUGAGAGAUAUGGAGAGAAGUGCUGAGACAGUGUAAUUGCUACACCAGGACAUUAGCCUGAACAACUUAAAAGCUAUUGAUCCUGUGGUUCUGGGACAAAAUGAAAGAUCCUCUUCCUGCAGCCUAGAUCAUAGAAUGGUAAGCUAAAGGGACUUUGAAAAAACAUUUAAAUCUGUUUGGCCUUGCCAAAUGCAACUGAGGAAUUGAAUGAUUACUUAAUAAAGAUGGUUUGAGAGAAUGAAUCAUUGAAAACGUAAGAACUAGUAAAACAAAUUGUGAUAGCCAGACUUAGGUCCAUUUUGGGAUAUGUAACUUUGCUGAAGAAUUGCAAAGCUUAGUGAUCAAUCUAUGCUUCAAAAGCUGUUCUUUAUUCAGUCUCCUAAGUCAAGAGCCUUAUCAAGUGAAUUUUUGAAAAUACUCAUGCUUGUGUUUCACACAGAGUACAGGAAAUGCAGUGUCAGUGUUGCCACAGUAAUGAUGUAACCCGAUGCAUCCGGGAGGUUAUUUUAGCCACAGAAUUUAUUUUAAUGAUUUUGCAAAUGACUUCCAUCCUGUAUUUCAGAGUCAUCAAGGCUGCGAAGGUAUCAUAUGAAUUUUCCUGCAAUGCUUUACUGCAUUGAGUGGAGAAUAAGCUCUAUGCCACUAUAGGUUUUUUUUUUAAUAAGUGUGAGUAUUUGCAAAGCAUCUGGGCUAUUCCCUCAGGAAUGUCAAGGGUCCAAGUACAAAAGGGCCUUCUGGUGAUAGAGAGAUUGCGUUUCCCUACUCCAUCUUGACAUCCAUAUUUCACAGAAGAGAAUGACUUUUCUCAAGGUUAUUUAGUUGGAAAGUGGUAGAGCUGCAAUUAGAACCCAGAAUUAUUAGCCUAAAAUCAGGAACUAUUUCUAACUUGCAUAAACAAUACCUAAGGCUAUGGUCUGUGGAGGUAGGCUGA